CUACGGGAUGCUGCAGUGAGGAAUAUUGCACAAUGGGGGGAACCCUGAUGCGGCAACGCCGCGUGGAGGAUGACGCAUUUCGGUGUGUAAACUCCUUUUAUAUGUCAAGAAAAUGACGGUAGCAUAUGAAUAAGCACCGGCUAACUCCGUGCCAGCAGCCGCGGUAAUACGGAGGGUGCAAGCGUUACUCGGAAUCACUGGGCGUAAAGGACGCGUAGGCGGGUUGGAAAGUCAGGUGUGAAAUCCUACAGCGUAACUGUAGAACUGCACUUGAAACUUCUAAUCUAGAGUAUGGGAGGGGGAGAUGGAACUAGUGGUGUAGGGGUAAAAUCCGUAGAUAUCACUAGGAAUACCUAAAGCGAAGGCGAUCUCCUGGAACAUUACUGACGCUAAGGCGUGAAAGCGUGGGGAGCAAACAGGAUUAGAUACCCGAGUAGUC
rnacentral:rRNA from 1 species